GGUCAUUGUGGCUUGUGAUGCUCUGUCUCAGUCAUGUGUGUAGUUGUGUCCUGUGACCUGCCUCAUUUGGAUCUGUACUUUGUUGGAUUACUGUGUUCGUUUUGGCUUGUUUAUCUUGGUUCCUUUGGACUCAGCAACUCAACUAGAGAGGCGGGCCCUCGGUUGUGAUGAUGGAAGUUUACAGCUGCUUGGAUUGUGCGAAGACUGCAACGAUGGAGGAGAAACUUGUGGUGACUGUUGCGGGUUAUCUGGAGUUGUAUAACUUUACAAACCGCAACUACCAUAAUAUCAACAAGAAGCAGCAAGUCUGGAGGAAAGUUAGUGAGGCAAUGAUGUCGGAGGAGGAAUGCAGACGAAAAUGGAAAUAAUUGAGAGACAAAUAUUUAAGAGAAAGGAGGGCGGAGAAGGAGAAAAGAAGUGAUUCAGAAGGAGGCAGUCAGAGGAGAUGGAAACUUAUGUCAUUUCUUGAGCCUCAUGUAAAGGGGAGACCAACGACGUCCAAUUGUAACUUUGAUAGGCCUAUAGACAGUGAGGACUGCAGGUCUACUGGUGAAUCUCUCCUACUCCCUAUGGUGACGCAAGUUGAGGAGGAUGACCUGCUGACUGGGACCUUUGAGCCAUCCUCAUUGUCUCCUACACCACUAUCCGCAUCAACAUCUAUUCAGUCUCCACCUUGUGUUCCCCGGGCUGUGGAGAGUGGAAGAGGUCACAAGAGAAGAGCAGAGAUUACAGACUACCAAAGAGAACUCCUUGAAGCUGUGAACAAACCUCUUGAUGAGGAUGGAUUUCUUUGAGUUUGAUCCCUGUCAUGAAGAGAUUGCCACCAAGGAAGAGAGCGAACAUUAGACUGAAAGUGAUGCAGCUCCUACAGCGAUGACUGUUUAGUUUCUCUUACCUACAUGCACACACAGUCCUUUACACAGAUACUCAAUGAUUGGAAAUAUUAAUUCCAUAAUCCUUUAAAUUAUUAAUACAAUUUCUACGUGACCUAAAAAUAUUAAAGAGUUAUAUCACCUGA